CCCCCAGUAAGGGCGACUGAACGGGGAGGAGCCCAGCGCGGAACCUCGCGCGCCUCACCGGCUGCGUCUGAGGAAUGUCGCGUUCCGGAGGGGCCUUCUCCGACCACACCGACCCCCCCCAAGUCCGCUUGAACGCGGCCACUGCCCAUGGAGGGUGCGAGGCCCGUACGGGGAUUAGGAGUCGGGCGGUCGGACGGCCCCGUCCGUAGAGUCGGGUUGCCUACUAACGCAGCCCAAAGCAGGUGGUAAACUCCAUCUAAGGCUAAAUAUGACCACGAGACCGAUAGCGAACAAGU
rnacentral:rRNA from 3 species